GGAGGAAUACCCAAGUCCGGCUGAAGGGAUCGGUCUUGAAAACCGACAGGCGGGUUAAACCGUGCGGGGGUUCGAAUCCCUCUUCCUCCGCCA
rnacentral:tRNA from 2 species